UAUGCCUAAGCCUAAGCCUAAGCCUACUCCCAAGCCUAUGUCUAUGCCUA
rnacentral:sRNA from 1 species